rnacentral:lncRNA from 1 species
GAAGAAUUUGGAAUAAAAAAUAUCUGGGUCUCACAUUUCAAAUACUUGCACAAACACAUGGCACCUAGUAUUAUCACGAGAAGAGACAGUUUUUUGACUUGUUCCAGCACAGUGUCUGUGAGAAAAAGGUGCUUUCAGGUCAACACCAGCUAUUUCAGGAAAAGACGCUGGCAAUAUCAGACCAGGGCUUCCAUCAGUGAAGUCACACAGGUAUCUCUGCUAAAUAUUUUUGUGGCACUGAAUGAGGUUUCUAAUAUGGUAAUUAUGUUUUGAAAGCAGAGAGGCUGUGAAAAAUGGCAGGUAAAGCAGGAAUAACUGAGGCUUCUGGAGCAAGGGACAAGAAGCAAGACAAUAGAGGAAAGAAAUAUUUUAUAAGCCUGUGACUGAAGACUGGGAGGU